rnacentral:rRNA from 1 species
AGAGUUUGAUCAUGGCUCAGAUUGAACGCUGGCGGCAUGCUUAAUACAUGCAAGUCGAACGGUAACAGAUUCUUCGGAAUGCUGACGAGUGGCGGACGGGUGAGUAAUACAUAGGAAUCUGCCCAUGUAGUGGGGGACAACUUGGGGAAACUCAAGCUAAUACCGCAUAAUUCCUACGGGAUAAAGAGGGCCACUGCUUGCAAGCUCUUGCUACUGGAUGAGCCUAUGUCGGAUUAGUUAGUUGGUAAGGUAAUGGCUUACCAAGACAGCGAUCCGUAGCUGGUUUGAGAGGAUGAUCAGCCACACUGGGACUGAGACACGGCCCAGACUCCUACGGGAGGCAGCAGUAGGGAGUAUUGUACAAUGGGCGCAAGCCUGAUCCAGCAAUGCCGCGUGUGUGAAGAAGGCCUGCGGGUUGUAAAGCACUUUCAAUUGGGAAGAAAGAUUAUGAGUUAAUACCUUAUAAUAUUGACG